rnacentral:rRNA from 1 species
UACGUAGGGGGCAAGCGUUGUCCGGAAUUAUUGGGCGUAAAGAGCUCGUAGGCGGCUUGUCACGUCGGGUGUGAAAGCCCGGGGCUUAACCCCGGGUCUGCAUUCGAUACGGGCUAGCUAGAGUGUGGUAGGGGAGAUCGGAAUUCCUGGUGUAGCGGUGAAAUGCGCAGAUAUCAGGAGGAACACCGGUGGCGAAGGCGGAUCUCUGGGCCAUUACUGACGCUGAGACGCGAAAGCGUGGGGAGCAAACAGG